rnacentral:lncRNA from 1 species
CUUCAAAAGUUGUUUGGCUCUCUUUCCAAGGCUUUAGGGCAACUGCUGUUUCAAUAGGAAGCUCUCUGAAGCUGUGAGUCAACAGUCGCUCAUCCUGGGAGGUGAUUCACACGCCAGAGUGUGCGGUCCGCAAAUGGUGUGGGGGUGGUACCUCUGAGGGAGAGAUUGACGUGCCCCCAAAUGAGUUGUUUGUGAUCACAGGCUGCUCAUGAGCAGACAUGAGAACAGAUGCACCAAUUAAUUUCUUGUCAUGUCCCCUCCACACUCCUUCAGGAGGGGCACAAAUGUUGCUCAAAAAGAUGUGGAACUUGGACAUGAGAACAGUCACCCCCCCACCUCGCAGUCCUUUACAAAGUGAGGGCUGGUCAAAGAGUCAGAAUGAGGAAUGAGAGAUUCGGAUCGUUCCAAGGUUUAUGUUAUUCAUUUGGAGGUAAGAUGGGUGAAUUCCUGAGAAACUG